rnacentral:lncRNA from 1 species
CGCGGUCCUCGGGGAGCCCCGCAGCCCCACGGCGCCUCCUUCUCCACCCCCAGCACCCCACUGGAGCGGUCGCCGCCGGGCAGCGCUCUUUUUGACGAGGAGAGCCUCCGCGGGAAGCGGAGCCCCGGCUGCGAGCUGCCCUUCCUGGCGCGCACCCCCUCGGCCCUGGCGCUGAGCGGCACCGCCAGCCCCGCCAACAGCAUCUUCUCCUCGCCCCGCCGCUGGCUGCAGCAGAGGAAGGGGCAGCCCUCGUCGCCCGAGCCUCGCCCCGCCGCCUACGUCGUGUGGAAAUCCGAGGGGUCAGAUUUUCCCAGUGUUCUGGAGACUGUGUAGAUUCACAGUGUGACAUGGUGUAAAGAUCUCUGGUGAGUGAGAAGUCAGAAGCUGAUGCAGUGAAUGGCUGUACCACAAGGUCUGUUGAGGUCCAAAGUAGUGCACCCAAAAUCCUUCCGAGACUAAGCUAAGAAAUAUAAUAAAACCUACUAAUCUGGUAAAUCA